UUCCGGAGCUAACGCGUUAAGUCGACCGCCUGGGGAGUACGGCCGCAAGGUUAAAACUCAAAUGAAUUGACGGGGGCCCGCACAAGCGGUGGAGCAUGUGGUUUAAUUCGAUGCAACGCGAAGAACCUUACCUACUCUUGACAUCCAGAGAACUUAGCAGAGAUGCUUUGGUGCCUUCGGGAACUCUGAGACAGGUGCUGCAUGGCUGUCGUCAGCUCGUGUUGUGAAAUGUUGGGUUAAGUCCCGCAACGAGCGCAACCCUUAUCCUUUGUUGCCAGCGGUNNGGCCGGGAACUCAAAGGAGACUGCCAGUGAUAAACUGGAGGAAGGUGGGGAUGACGUCAAGUCAUCAUGGCCCUUACGAGUAGGGCUACACACGUGCUACAAUGGCGCAUACAAAGAGAAGCGACCUCGCGAGAGCAAGCGGACCUCAUAAAGUGCGUCGUAGUCCGGAUUGGAGUCUGCAACUCGACUCCAUGAAGUCGGAAUCGCUAGUAAUCGUAGAUCAGAAUGCUACGGUGAAUACGUUCCCGGGCCUUGUACACACCGCCCGUCACACCAUGGGAGUGGGUUGCAAAAGAAGUAGGUAGCUUAACCUUCGGGAGGGCGCUUACCACUUUGUGAUUCAUGACUGGGGUGAAG
rnacentral:rRNA from 1 species